UUCACCUUUACUUCGGGAAAGUAAGACCCCUCAGAGAUGAUGAGGUAGAUAGGAUGGAAGUGGAAGUGCCGUGAGGCAUGGAGCGGACCAUUACUAAUCGGUCGAGGACUUAACCAAG
rnacentral:rRNA from 1 species